CUGUACCACUCUCCCUUGUCCUGUGUGAAAAGAUGAUAGCAAUAGUCCAAGCUCACGAUGGUGGUGGAGUGUGGCAACGGAGAAGGAAGCCCGUGGGCUCAGUGUGUAUUUGGAGCAAUCAGAAGAAACUGAAUGUGGGAAAUACUGUACUAUGGGCAAUGGCUCCAGCCGGGUCGUCGUUAGUCAAAAGACAGGAACAGCGUGCUGAUGACGUAUGCAACAGAGUGAUGGUACUGAUCGACCUCGGUGUUUCAGCUGGAGACCCGCAAACCAGGAGUUGGAGCAGACAGCAAGAGCAAACCCUCCGGUGUCCCCAGACAAUGGGUAAAUGGACCCAGACGGAAGCUCCGUGACUGCUUCUCUCCCCAGGGGCUUCCCACAGCCUUCCGAAGUUCCAGCAUGGCUCAUGACACACCUCACCAGCUCACCUCGUCACCCCUCCCACCCUAUUACCACCAGCUCCCACCUAGAUGAACUCCUAGCAGUUCCCAGGACACGCCAAGGGCCUUCUC
rnacentral:lncRNA from 1 species